GACGAACGCUGGCGGCGUGCCUAAUACAUGCAAGUCGAGCGAACGGACGAGAAGUUUGCUUCUCUGAUGUUAGCCGCGGACGGGUGUGUCACAUGUGGAUCACCUCCCUGUAAGACUGGUAUCACUUCGGGACACCGUAUCUAAUCCCAUAUAAUAUUUUGAUCCGCUUGGUUCAAUAGUGAAAGACGGUCUUGCUGUCACUUAUAGAUGCUUCCGCGCUGCAUUAGCUGGUUGGUACGGUAACGGCUUACCAACGCAAGGAUGCAUAGCCGACCUCAGAGGGAGGACGGCCACACGGGAAGUGAGACAGGGUCGAGACACCUACGGUAGGCAGCAGUAGAGAAUCCUACGCAAUGGGGGAGAGCCUGACAGAGCAACGCGGAGGGAGUGAUGAAGGUGUUAGGAGCGGAAAACGCUGUUGGUAGGGGAGAACAUAUGUGUAAGUAACUGUGCAGAUAUUGACGGUACCUGAUCAGAAAGCUACGGCUAACUACGUG
rnacentral:rRNA from 1 species